UACGUAGGCAGCAAGCGUUGUUCGGAAUUACUGGGCGUAAAGCGAGUGUAGGCGGUCUGCUAAGUCGGGUGUGAAAGCCCUGGGCUCAACCCAGGAAGUGCACUCGAAACUGGCAGGCUAGAGUACUGGAGAGGUUGGUGGAAUUCUCGGUGUAGAGGUGAAAUUCGUAGAUAUCGAGAGGAACACCGGUGGCGAAGGCGGCCAACUGGACAGAUACUGACGCUGAGACUCGAAAGCGUGGGGAGCAAACAGG
rnacentral:rRNA from 1 species